AGUGUCCUUUACCUGGCUAAUUAGGCAUCUGUUUCAGGUGGACUGAGAUUGACAGGAGGAGCCACAGGUAAAGUCCAACACCCUAGUGCUGGAGACAAGGUAAGAUUAACAUCAAGCUGAAACAUGAGCUGAGUGAGGCUCAGAGGCAAGACAGGAGGACUAAGGCAAAAAGGGUCCAGAGUUCCCCUUGGAGCCACCGGGUGGGUGACCAUAACUGGCCUUCC